CUUACUAUGAGCUGUUUUAGCGGCGGACGGGUGAGUAACGCGUGAGCAACCUUUCCCAGACAGGGGAACAACAGUUAGAAAUGACUGCUAAUACCGCAUAUACCCAAGUGUCACAUGGCACAAUGGGGAAAGGAGCAAUCCGCUGAUAGAUGGGCUUGCGUCUGAUUAGCUAGUUGGUGAGGUAACGGCCCACCAAGCCGACGAUCGGUAGCCGACCUGAGAGGGUGAUCGGCCACAUUGGGACUGAGACACGGCCCAAACUCC
rnacentral:rRNA from 1 species